AUGCAACACGUGGAAGGAGGGGAGGGGCAGGUGGGGGGUGGGCGUGGACAUCGACGGCCCCUGUCCUGGACAGUGCCCACCGACACUGUCUGUCCCAGACCUGAUCCCCCGACCGGGAACUACUGUCUGAGCAGAGACUCUGCACACACACUCCUCACCUUGAAGGCAGAGUUUUGUCACCAUCUCUUUCGUGCUUAUGGCGCAAGUGGCUACCGCUGCCCAACAGAUGGAGUUCAUGGACGUCCGGGUCCUGGAGAAACGUAUGUGCUGGCUGUGACAGACAGGCAGUGGGAAAAAACCAGGCCCAAGAGCUUUGAAGACCAAGUUUCUGUCUGUGCUGUGGGCUGCUCCUGACAGGAGCUGACAUCUGAGCUAUGCACCAGGCACUGGCAUUUCCUUCUCCCUUCCACCCGUGUCAUCCUGUGAUGGGUCCAGGGAAGACCCUUCUCUCUUCAAGACUACCCUUGAUGUAAAUUUUAGCCAGGUGUCACCUGAAGCGGAAGGAUGAGGGUCGGUAUGAGCAUACACAGACGGCUGAGGCUACAAGUUCGAGAUGUCCACUGGGGCCGCAGUUUGGAAAGUACGUGCUGACAUGGCAGCUGAGAACCAAAACCCCUUCUGAGCCUGUGGUCAAACCCUCCUAAUAAGAAGAGAAACCGAGAGUCUCAGGCCGCGUGCUGGGAGAGCCGCACGGUCGGGCAAGGGGCUGGGGGUGGGGGAGGCGCCAGGAAAACUCUGAAAAUUCUGCACCCUGUUUUGCUUUCACUCACCUAGAUUUAGAAGAAUCCUCUGGCAAAAUGAAACUGAACUCUUACUUCCCCACUGAUGGUCUCCCGGUGACGGCAUAGACACUCUUGUCCUUGGUGAUAGAUCUGGAUGCUUUGGGUGUCGGCUUUGUCAAGGUUUAAUUUAUGUACAAUAAAAUCCCCCAAUUUGAAGUGUACCA
rnacentral:lncRNA from 1 species